rnacentral:snRNA from 15 species
CAACACACCUGGUUGGAAGGAUUUCGCGAUCAAGAAUGUGACACCUUGGUGAGGCCCAUAUACUGCGCUUCAGUUUGAAAUAAAACAUGUGGACUCGCUUCGAGUUGGGGUAAACCAAGAGCUAAAUUCAUGCUUGUGAGCUAUUUGCGCUGUAAUGCUCAC